GACGAACGCUGGCGGCGUGCCUAAUACAUGCAAGUCGAACGCUUCUUUCCUCCCGAGUGCUUGCACUCAAUUGGAAAGAGGAGUGGCGGACGGGUGAGUAACACGUGGGUAACCUACCCAUCAGAGGGGGAUAACACUUGGAAACAGGUGCUAAUACCGCAUAACAGUUUAUGCCGCAUGGCAUAAGAGUGAAAGGCGCUUUCGGGUGUCGUUGAUGGAUGGACCCGCGGUGCAUUAGCUAGUUGGUGAGGUAACGGCUCACCAAGGCCACGAUGCAUAGCCGACCUGAGAGGGUGAUCGGCCACACUGGGACUGAGACACGGCCCAGACUCCUACGGGAGGCAGCAGUAGGGAAUCUUCGGCAAAGGACGAAAGUCUGACCGAGCAACGCCGCGUGAGUGAAGAAGGUUUUCGGAUCGUAAAACUCUGUUGUUAGAGAAGAACAAGGACGUUAGUAACUGAACGUCCCCUGACGGUAUCUAACCAGAAAGCCACGGCUAACUACGUG
rnacentral:rRNA from 1 species